rnacentral:lncRNA from 1 species
GGAUACCGGGUACGGAACUGGUGCAGGGUACGGCACUCAUACAAAACCUGGUGUUGUUGAGCACCACGGCGUCCCUGCUGUGCUUCAUUCCAAGGAUGACCAGUACUCUCGUGAUACCCAGACAACCACUGGAGGUUACGGUGGGGACGGGUACACAGGAGGAGAGCACCAGGAGAAGAAGGGUUUACUAGGCCAACUCCAGGACAAGCUGCCAGGUGGGAACAAGGAUGGCCAGUACUCUCAUGACACCCAGACAACCACUGGAGCUUACGGUGGGGCCGGCUACACAGGAGGAGAGCACCACGAGAAGAAGGGUAUAAUAGGCCAAGUUAAGGACAAGCUGCCAGGUGGGCAAAAGGAUGACCAGUACUGUCGUGACACCCACCCAACCACUGGAGCUUACGGUGGCGCCGGCUACACAGGAGGAGAGGACCACGAGAAGAAGGGUAUAAUAGGCCAAGUCAAAGACAAGCUGCCAGGUGGGCAAAAGGAUGACCAGUACUGUCGUGACACCCACCCAACCACUGGAGCUUACGGUGGGGCCGGCUACACAGGAGGAGAGCACCAGGAGAAGAAGGGUAUAAUAGGCCAAGUUAAGGACAAGCUGCCAGGUGGGCAAAAGGAUGAUCAGUACUCUCAUGACACCCACAAAACUACUGGAGCUUACGGUGGGGCCGGAUACACAGGAGAUGAUACCCGGGAGAAGAAGGGUAUAAUAGGCCAAGUGAAGGACAAGCUGCCAGGUGGGCAAAAGGAUGACCAUUACUCUCAUGACACCCACCCAACAACUGGAGCUUACGGUGGGGCCGGGUACACAGGAGAUGAUACCCGGGAGAAGAAGGGUAUAAUAGACCAAGUAAAGGACAAGCUGCCGGGUGGGCAAAAGGAUGACCAUUACUCUCAUGAGACCCACCCAACCACUGGAGCUUACGGUGGGGCAGGGUACACAGGAGAUGAUACACGGGAGAAGAAGGGUGUAGUGGAGAAAGUGAAGGAGAAGCUGCCAGGUGGGCAAAAUGUGCACCCAACCACUGGACCUUACGGUGGGGGUGGGGCCGCGGGCAUAGGAGAGACCCGGGAGAGGAAGGGUGUAGGGGAGAAAGUGAAGGAGAAGCUGCCAGGUGGACAUAAGGAUGACCAGUAC